rnacentral:misc_RNA from 1 species
AAUAGCACCAUUAAUUGCAGCAUCUACAAAGUCAGAACUGACUUUGUACAAAGCCCUAUCUCGCAGUAUCCUCUCCUGGGGGUUUGUAUGGGGGAAUUCCCGACAAGAUUGCAACUCUUCAUUCCAAUCCCUUUGCAUGCCAAUCAGCUCACUUCCAAAAGAAAGUGUAAGUGCAUUCUCAGCCCGUGCCGCAUCGCGUUUGUGAUCAGGGAUAGGAUAUGACCCAAGCCAAGAAUUUGGUGGUAGGGUAGAUUGAACAUUUUCAAAAGGAU